rnacentral:rRNA from 1 species
AUGAACGCUAGCGGGAGGCCUAACACAUGCAAGCCGAGCGGUAUUGUUUCUUCGGAAAUGAGAGAGCGGCGUACGGGUGCGGAACACGUGUGCAACCUGCCUUUAUCUGGGGGAUAGCCUUUCGAAAGGAAGAUUAAUACUCCAUAAUAUAUUGAACGGCAUCGUUUAAUAUUGAAAGCUCCGGCGGAUAGAGAUGGGCACGCGCAAGAUUAGCUAGUUGGUGAGGUAACGGCUCA